UCAACCAAGGGAUCAUCUAUCAAUGAUUUGAAAUGUUGAAGAUUUAAUCAACCAAACAAUCACUCAAGUCAAAACCAAAUGAUGCACAAAAUUGAAUUAAAAAUAAAUUUAAAAAGAAAUAAAAUAAUUUAAACAUGAUUUACAAAAGGAAAUUAAUAAUAGAAAUAAUAAAAAUAAAAAUGUCAAAAUGAAAUAAAUAUUAAGGAGUCCAACUAUUAAAAAU
rnacentral:lncRNA from 1 species